UGCCAGCCGCCGCGGUAAUACGAAGGGGGCUAGUGUUGUUCGGAAUUACUGGGCGUAAAGCGCGCGUAGGCGGAUAUGUAAGUCAGAGGUGAAAUCCCGGGGCCCAACCCCGGAACUGCCUUUGAAACUAUGUAUCUAGAAUCUUGGAGGGGGUAGUGGAAUUCCUAAUGUAGGGGUGAAAUCCGUAGAUAUUAGGAGGAACACCGGUGGCGAAGGCGGCUACCUGGACAAGUAUUGACGCUGAGGUGCGAAAGCGUGGGGAGCGAACAGGAUUAGAUA
rnacentral:rRNA from 1 species